UUAUAGAAUGGACAGGCUUUUCUGAGCUAACCUGAGAACCUAACUCCUUUGUAUACCAUUGGAAUUAGAUCUCAACCCGUUUCCCAUGUCCCCCGUAGAAACUAACACAAGGCCUAUUGGGAAGUGGAUUCAGCUGUGCUUUAGAACUGCCUAAAACCCCUUCCAGGGGCGCCCCUCCAUCCCCUUGCCGGACCACCAGCCCAGUAGACCAGGUUGGGGGAGGCAGUCCCCAGCUCACCAGGCAAUCUCUUCCAAAGGGCUCCAGGGGCUUCUAACAUGCAACUAGGGCUGAGAACAGCUGCUAAGAUGAAAAAGGGGGUGGUAGUGGAUUACAGUUUCUCAGUUACCUGUUUUGCGCGGCAACACUGCCCGUGCAACCACCAAGCCAUGCUGGAUGGUGAGUCGUACCCACAGGCUGACUCUCCAGAUGAAGGAAGAAACGUGAGGACCCGCAGAACUUCCCUCGCUAUAGGAGAGGAAAGGAGUUUUGAGGCUAGAGGUUCCCGGAUUGAACCCAGGUCCUCAGCAAUGACGCGCAGAGCCCUAACCACUGGACCGCCAGGGAAUUCCCCAAAGCAGAACUCUAGACAUCAUGCGACAAACCGAAACGUGGGGACCCUCUUCCCAGAGGAAGCUACUGUCAAGAACAACUAGUUUUAAACUCUGCCAUGAAAGGAGCCGUCCCCUCAUUUACCACCCAGCCCCCUCAAAUCCUGUUAACCCUUCCUUCUAUUAAUAUUACUGAUCUGUGCUCUGCUGUUUCCCACCAUUUCUGCCUCAGGCCAAGGAAGUCAGUGCCUGCGUGCUUAGUCGCUGCAGUCAUGUCCGACUCUCUGCGACUCCAUGGACUAUAACCCACCAGGCUCCUCUGAACAUGGGGAUUCUCCAGGCAAGAAUACUGGAGUGGGCUGCCAUGCCCUUUUCUAGGGGAUCUUCUCAACUCAGGGAUCGAAACUGCAUCUCUUUUGUCUCCUGCAUUGCAGGCGGAUUCUUUACCACUGAGCCCCGCAAGAAGCCCAUACCCAUUGCCUAUUGCAAUAACCCUUCACUGUCUGUGAAUCUCUACUUCCUUCCAUGCCUCCCUCCAUUCUCUAUGCUGUCACCAGACUGAUGCUUCCAAAACGUAAGUUUCACUACAAGUGUCAGUCCAAGGUUUAAACACCCUCAGUGUUCUCCACUGCCCCUCCCAAACUUUUUCAUCUUAGCUGUGGUUCUCAGCCCCAGAUGCAUGUCAGAAGCCCCUGAAGCUUUAGAAAGCACAGCUGCACAGGACUUAGCUGAGACCCAUAGAAGCGGCAUCUCUGGGGGUGAAGUAGGGUCUGGUUAUGUGACAGCUCCAGCUGAUUCUGAUGAUCAGUGACAGCUGGGACCACGGUGCCAGCUGAGACCACCAUGCUCACAUGGCUGAGAUCAGUUCCUGCCUGUCUCUCCAGCAUGGCUCCCCACCAACCACUCCUCACCCCACCAAGAAACCAUCUUCCUCCCUGAAACACACCACACUCUGUCCAUUCUCACUUUCGCCAUCAGCAUCAGGGUCUUUUCCAAAGAGUCAGCUCUUCGCAUCAAGUGGCCAAAAUAUUACAGUUUCAGCUUCAGCAUCAGUCCUUCCAAUGAAUAUUCAGGGGCAGCAAGAACCCUACAGGUGAAAGAAUGCAAGAAACCACUCCAGUUUCCCACAAGUUCUCUGGCUACCAUGUCAGACGCCUCCUGAGCAAACAGCCCAUCAGCGAGUGGCCCCCUUCGCCGGAGCUACUAAGACAGCAGUCACCCGUUCAUCAGCAGCCCCAGCCCAGACCUGCAGAGUCAGAAGGGCUGGAGCACAGCAGUCCUCUUCCCCAGGCACAUCUGAGAAGCCUGAUUCAAUUUGGGAAGACCACCCACCAGGCACUCCACCCCCCCACUCUGAAUCAUCCCAGGAUUUGAUCCACUUUGCAAAGGUGGCUUUCCUUUUCUAAAAAGGCUGCACCCACUGGGGUGUGCACAGGGCUCCUGCGUCAGCGAGGUGGAGACUCUACCUGCAAACAGAUGAGAGGCCUCAGGACUGAGAGGCUGCACAAAGGGACCUUUAAAACCGACAAGGAAAUUAGCUCUUGCUCUGGCCCUAAGGAAGCUGGAUCAGGACUAAAGAUAUCUAGUCAGUUUCUACAAAUAUCUGCUCCUCAGAGAGGCUUAUGGAGCCCCCCAGUACUGCCACCAAUCUCCACCUCCAUCUCUUGAUCCUACUGUAAUUUUCUUUCAUGGCACUUAUCACUUCUGGAAAUUGUAUGGAUAUCUGUUGUCUAUUAAUUAUCAGCCUCCACCGAUAGAAUAUCAGCACAAGGACAGGAAUCUUGCAUUUGGUUCACUUCUAGAGCAGUAGGACUUAGAGUAGACCAGCAUGUAAUAGGGAGUAAUCAGUAUUUGUUGAAUGAAUGAAGGAAUGAAUGCAUGACAGCACACACACUCCAGCAGAGCAAGAACUGGCUCGCUCCGCUCUGUGAGCUCACCUCACGCUGCCUGGUAAGCAGGCAGAGCCUUAAAGUCUCCUUGAAUCAAUGAACAAGGUGCAAGCUUGUUUUUAAACUAUGAGCCCCAACACCUACACAAUACUUCAUCCAGACUGCCCUUUAUCAGGCUGAGCAGUUGCCAGGCUAUUGCUCAGUGCGUGUGUAAAAGGAGCCAAGGGGAUGCUGAACAUUUUAAAGGUUGACAAACAUUAUUCCAAAAGUAUGGCUUCGCAUUUGGCCAGAGGUUAAAACCUGGAGAACCCGAGGUAAUAAAGGACUCCCAAUCCUGAAGGAGGGUUGCAGCUUGUAGGGUAUUUGUCUUCCUCCUCACUCACUCACUCCUCCUGGUUCCAAAUACCAUUAUUUACCAUCACAGCAGUAAGAGGUCACGGCCAACCAAAUUCCAUUAU
ensembl:lncRNA